rnacentral:rRNA from 1 species
UACGUAGGGUGCGAGCGUUGUUCGGAAUUACUGGGCGUAAAGGGUGCGCAGGCGGCCUCGCAAGUCGGGUGUGAAAUCCCCGGGCGUAACUUGGGAAUUGCGCUCGAAACUACUUGGCUUGAGGGUGGCAGAGGGAGGUGGAAUUCCACGUGUAGCGGUGAAAUGCGUAGAGAUGGGGAGGAACACCGAUGGCGAAGGCGGGCGCCUGGGCAAACACUGACGCUGAGGCACGAAAGCGUGGGGAGCAAACAGG